GACGAACGCUGGCGGCGUGCUUAACACAUGCAAGUCGAACGGAAAGGCCCUGCUUUUGUGGGGUGCUCGAGUGGCGAACGGGUGAGUAACACGUGAGUAACCUGCCCUUGACUUUGGGAUAACUUCAGGAAACUGGGGCUAAUACCGGAUAGGAGCUCCUGCUGCAUGGUGGGGGUUGGAAAGUUUCGGCGGUUGGGGAUGGACUCGCGGCUUAUCAGCUUGUUGGUGGGGUAGUGGCUUACCAAGGCUUUGACGGGUAGCCGGCCUGAGAGGGUGACCGGGCACAUUGGGACUGAGAGACGGACCAGACUCCUACGGGAGGCAGAAGUGGGGAAUAUUGCACAAUGGGCGGAAGCCUGAUGCAGCGACGCCGCGUGCGGGAUGACGGGCUUCGGGUUGUAAACCGCUUUCGCCUGUGACGAAGCGUGAGUGACGGUAAUGGGUAAAGAAGCACCGGCUAACUACGUG
rnacentral:rRNA from 1 species